AUUGAACGCUGGCGGAAUGCUUUACACAUGCAAGUCGAGCGGCAGCGCGGGGGCAACCCUGGCGGCGAGCGGCGAACGGGUGAGUAACAUAUCGGAACGUACCCUGUCGUGGGGGAUAACUAUCCGAAAGGAUAGCUAAUACCGCAUACGACCUGAGGGUGAAAGCGGGGACCGCAAGGCCUCGCGCGAUAGGAGCGGCCGAUAUCGGAUUAGCUAGUUGGUGAGGUAAAGGCUCACCAAGGCGACGAUCCGUAGCGGGUCUGAGAGGACGACCCGCCACACUGGAACUGAGACACGGUCCAGACUCUACGGGAGGCAGCAGUGGGGAA
rnacentral:rRNA from 1 species